AUGAAACUGUCGGUGCUUCCUGCCCUGGUUGAAGAGCUGAAGAAAUCUGCUACUCGAACCGGUGCGAUCAAUGCCUUAAUCCGGGCAAAAGCCUGGGUGCCGGAUUUUGAUCCUAUUGAAGCGGCUCAGGGCUAUCCCAGCUUGAAGGAAGACGGGUCAGAGUUUGGUGAAGCGGAUCUGCGAGCAAUAAAUCGGGAGGUGCGUCCGCUAGCUUGUCAAUUGGCUAAAGAAGCAGACUUGUCUCAUUAUCAAGCCCAAUAUGACAAUCAGAACAAGCGAAUAGCUGCACCAAUCCACGAAUCGGAAAAUCUGAUCCCUCCAAUCCAUAAGCAUACUUACGCUCCCGAUAUUGACCCGUCAUUGCUGAUCCAUGAUGAACCUGUUUUUCAAGCAUUAAUGGGAAUCGACUGGACAACUGUUGAUUUCCAACCACUGGGUAGAGAAACGGAAGCUGAAGCGGCGCAGGAUGACCCACAACCAUGA
rnacentral:rRNA from 1 species